AUUGAACGCUAGCGGCAGGCCUAACACAUGCAAGUCGAGCGGAUGAUGGGAGCUUGCUCCUUGAUUCAGCGGCGGACGGGUGAGUAAUGCCUAGGAAUCUGUCUGGUAGUGGGGGACAACGUUUCGAAAGGAACGCUAAUACCGCAUACGUCCUCUGGUAGAAAGCAGGGGACCUGCGGGCCUUGCGCGAGCAGAUGAGCCUAGGUCGGAUUAGCUAGUUGGUGGGGUAAUGGCUCACCAAGGCGACGAUCCGUAACUGGUCUGAGAGGAUGAUCAGUCACACUGGAUCUGAGACACGGUCCAGACUCCUACGGGAGGCAGCAGUGGGGAAUAUUGGACAAUGGGCGAAAGCCUGAUCCAGCCAUGCCGCGUGUGUGAAGAAGGUCUUCGGAUUGUAAAGCGCUUUAAGUUGGGAGGAAGGGUUGUACGCUAAUACCGUGCAAUUUUGACGUUACCGACAGAAUAAGCACCGGCUAACUCUGUGCCAGCAGCCGCCGUAAUAC
rnacentral:rRNA from 1 species